rnacentral:lncRNA from 1 species
UGAUUGUUCACUUUCCGUUUCCACUACUGGAACAAAAUAGCUGACACUCACAACUUAAAGGAGGUGAAGUUUAUUUUGGCUCACAGUUUCAGCCCAUACCUGACUGGCUCCAAGACCAAAACAGGAUGGCAAAGGAACAUGGCAGGGAAGAAGUACUCGACCCAAGGCAUCCAGAAAGCAGAGAGAGACAGGAGGAGCCAGGGAUAAGAAUGGACAAGAUCACUUUUACAGACUCAAAGGGGAGCCAGAACACCAUUCUACUGCAUCAUCUCGUUGUGCAAGGAUAGUGUAGGCAUAGCUGGCAGAGAGCUGGGCUCAGAACUUUGCUGGCAACGAAUACGUCACGGUCCUUGCGCUUGUGAGGCAGGCGGCGGAACCGCUGAGCUAAAUCCCUGGGACUUGGAGUAGAACGUGUACCAUCACCCGCCAUAGCCAGACUCAGGCUAAGUGGGAUCCCACUGACUAUCCUGGGUCUCAACCUUAAAACGAACAGAUUGUGAGCAACUCCUCAGCCUCCAAGAUUGCAUGAGCCAGUGCCUCGUAAUGAGUCUCUCCGCAGAUCUGUGUGUAUCCUACUAGCUCUGCCUCCCUAGAGAAUCAGAGUACGCUACCUCUUGGCAAAAAAGUCACCCCCAGUGGUCCUUUCCUCCUUCCUUUCUAUGACAGCGAUGAUGGAAUUAAAAGUCUGAGUAACAACAUAUUCAUUUAUCCAUCUGUCCAG